rnacentral:lncRNA from 1 species
UUAUAUAUACUUAGUAAAUAAAAAACACAUUCCCAUGAUAUUAUUAACUCGAACAAUUGUUUCUAAUAUUUAUAUAAAUUUGUAAAAUGGCUAUAAUAAUAUCUCUAAAAAAAAUAACGAAUUUUUAAUUCUAGUUUUUCUUGAAUCACUAAAAUGGUUACAAUUACAAAGUUUAAAUUAAAAAAAAAAGUAAAUAAAAUGGAAUUAUGGAAAAAAGAAAAGAGAAGAGAGAGGGGGGGGGAGUGGGGACGAGAAACAAAAGGAGCCAGCUAGACAUAAUUUGACCGUGACAGUGUUUUUGGUUUGGUUUGACUAAUAAGCCUCGAGAUCAUCUCUCUCUUUGCUGCUCUUUGACUGUUCCUUUUACCCACUCGUUGCCCACCACGUGUCCAC